GAGGAUCUUUAUCGCUGCGCAUUUGGAAACACGCGCUUGGGCACUUGGUAUGCGCUUUUUCAAUCGCUGUAGUCUACAAAUAGUCUGCAUGGAUUGGUUCUAUCAAUUUUUUUGGUUUCACAUUUCGAUUGUUGUAUAGUUUUUUUCCAAAUAAGUCUCUUAUCGACUUUUUUUUAAAGCAGCAUUUCGGGCAACCAUGAGUAGAUCUGGAACAUUAAAAAUAAAGAAUUUGUUUCAUAAAACAAAGUCACUGGAUAAAGAAAACAAGAACGGGGAAAAGCACACAUUUAAAGAUGCAACUUCAUAUGGAGAUGGAGAGUUUGCGAGCCCAGGCCCGAGUUUACCGUCGAGUCCCGGACUUGUCAGUCCCGUCAGCCCCCUGGAUGGGACGCUGCAUAGGAGUCAAGCAAGUGAGGAGAAAAAGAAGAAGAAGCGGUUCUUGUCCUUGCAGCUCAAGAAGAAAUGCUCAAAGGAGGAAGGGCGCAUAGACGACCCACUGUCCUAUAACGGUGCUGACGAGCUCCACAGCUUCAGCAGUAACAUGAGUUUUGACCAACGGAGCGUGAAAACAGAAUACAGCACCACGACUGACAGGGAUGCUACCUCCAUGAUCAGCUAUGACAUGUCAGCCUUCAACAGCCUCAGUCCCAACAAGUCCAGAAAUAAGAGCUCAGACAGAGUGUUGAACCGCAUCGGCAGUUUUUUUUCCAUAAAGAAGAAGAAGAGCCGGAGCGGUUCACUCUCAGCAGACUCAGAGGAUGGAUCCUGGCUUGGUCCUGGCUCUCCAGGCUCCCCCCAGUCCCCUGGUUCUCCUGUCUUCCCCCAGUCCCCUGGUUCUCCCAUCUCCCCUCAGUCCCCUGGUUCUCCUCUCUCCCCCCACCAACCUCCACAGGAAGACUGGCAAAAGACCCCCACCACCACCCGGAGAGAGGGGGAGGUAGUGGAAGCCGGAGCUGGGCCAGUGCAAGGAAGUUUGUCAGAGCUCCAGGAGGAGGGAUCGGUGUUCAGUACCAGCUCCAGCCCUGGUACCUCCAGCCUAGCCUCUCUGGUGGUGGUGGACAGAGGGGACCUUUUGUUUGCAGGCAGCGACAGCAGCGGUCGUGGCAGCGUGAGGGAGAUGCAGGUGUGCAGGGCGAGCCGGGCCGAGGCAGAGGCAGAGGCAGACGGAGAGGCCAACAGGAAUUACUGGAAUCUGACUCCCACGAACUCGUCCUCCGGAGCAGACCAAGUCCCAGGGCUCAGCCCCACUGAGGACGUAGUGGGAGAGGCGAGCAGGAGGCUGCAGGUACAUCUGGAACAAACCACUGUGAAAGACAGAGAGGGGUCUGGAGGAGGCAGCCCAGUGGUCCAAAACACCCUCAGGUCGUUUGAGCUCUCCCAAUCUCACCUUAAGGCUGACUUCACCUCUCUGGUCACAGAGUCUAAAAAGACCUCCCUGAAAACAUCUGUUGGAGGGAAGGGGAGUUACCUGGUGGGAGUGACUGUAGGCUCUCAGUCACACACCCCGUCCUCCUCAGAUCCCCAACCAGAGGGGGAGGAGGGGAAGGACAGCCCAGCCAUGGGGAAGAAAAACAGGAGGAGGGCUCUGAAAUCCACCAGCAGCAGCUCGCCUGAAACAGCUCCCCCCACACAGACCACGUUACAUGGGGGAGAGGAGGGGACGACGCAGGAUUCACCAGUGAAGCUACACAAAGCCUUGUGGGUGGAAACACACCUGGGAGAAGAGGAGGGGGAGAGGAAGGGGAAGAGGAAAAGUGUAAAUUCACAUUCAGUCCUGGCCAUACCUAUGACUGUGGCCCCUGUUGAGUACCCUGAUACUGCAGGUGUCCUGGCCACUCUAACUCCUUCAGCAGUAUCAGCAGCAGAGGCCAGUGGCAGAGAGCCAAAGCCAAAGCUGGCUGUAUCUACAGCGCCAGCCUCCAAGGAGUCUAAAACAACAAACAAAGCCCAGCCAGAGGUGAACAGUCCAGGCACAGACUCAGAGAGCAGCACCCCUCGAGAGUACCAGAUGGCCCUGAGCAAAGAGGAAAAGCGCAGGAGUGUGAAACUGUCCCGCAGUGAGAAGCUUUUCCCUAAGAAGGUGUAUGUGAGCCCUGAGCACAGUUUUGACGGGGACGAGCAGACAAAAACAGAGCUAGAAAAUAAUGACAUGGCAGACUUGGCUUCAAAGAUUCCUCAGAAGUCAGAGGUGAAACUCUCGCCAAGCCCUCAAAAGGUUUAUGUAGACCUCAAGGAACCAAACAAUGACUGUAUCAUCACUGCUGGGGAGAUAACCAAGGAUACAGACUCUGAUCGAAGACACCAUGACACCAUGGCUGUUGACAGUUCCCCAACGUCCCCAACCCCAGAGCUGGAUGAGGCCUCUCCAACCACAACUAUGCCAGGACGUAAAACACAGCCCAACACAGGAGAUUCAAGGGUUAGAUGUCAGGUGACGACCCAGGUCACCCCAUUUAAACCAGGUGACAAAGUAGGCAAUGUAGCCAGUCGGUCAAAGUGUCCCCCUCCUCCGGUUGGACCCAAGUCCAAAGCUGUCCUGGGCAUGGCUAAGGGAAAGGGUCUCAAAGAUGGUGGAAAGGCAGGGAUUUCUAGUAGGGCUCCAUCACAAAUGACACCAAAAGAUGGCAGUGAGAAAACAAAGGUUAUGUCACCUACGUUAAAGGAUCAACCCACCGCAGGAAAAACAGAGGUCACCGAUAGCCCCAAGUCGAAAAUUCCCAAAAAGUCACAGACAGAAGCUAUAUCAAAACCUCCACUAUCACCAGGCACAACCUCAGUGGUUGAUGUUUCAUUGGCUGUGUCUCUACCUGUGCUUGGUUCCAAACCCCAGAAGACCCCUAAACCUAAACAUUUAAUGAUUAAAACAGACAAAAAGCCUAUCACCGAGGAGGUGAAUGAAGUGGGUUCAGGGGGGAAACCAACUCCAGGGCCUGUUACGCCAGAAGAGGCAUCACCUACUAAAGUACCAGUCAUGUCACCUGUGAACUCAGAUAAGGUAAACCUAUCCAAUGGGAUGGAAAAAGACCCUGAGGACAACAACACUGACAUAGCCAAAACAAGUGAACCCAAAGAUGUCAAAAAGCAGGCUCCCACACGCCCAGACAGCACCAACAGCAGCAUGAUACCAAAGAGCCGGUUACCCAAAGCCCCUGACAACUAUUUGUCUCUGGUCAGGAAGAUGAAAGAUGGCAAACUCCAAACCAGCGACACAGGGAGUAAAACUACCAAGACCACUGAGAGAGCAUCAGCUGUCAAUAGUAGACCUUCCACACCAACCAGCCCAAAGCAGCAGGAGCUUCCCAGCCCAGAGGAAAUGCCCCCAGAUGAGACAAUGACCACUGAACCUGAGAAGGGAAGCAAGCUGCCCUGCCCUUUGCAAACAAACCUGCCCCAACAGGCCUCCAAUAAGAGCACCCCCCGUGAUGACGGGGACACACCCACCCCUCCCUCACUGUUACCAACCAAGCCAGAGAAACCCGCCUCCCUUGGACUUAAGAAGAAGAGUAACAUCACAUCUCCCACCAUGGACAUGACUGCUGAUGAUUCUGGGAAGGCUUCACCACUGAGUUUGAAAAGUCCAGUGAAAGAUCCAAGUGAUUCUGUGACUGUGGCUAGCAAGCGUGCAAUGUUCCGUCAUGUAACUCCCCCUAAAGGCAAACCCAGCAAACCCCUCAAGAAAUAUGAGCAAACUAUGAACUCUGAAACACAAUCUAAAUCCAUACAAGAUCAUGUGUCACUGGUCACAGAUGACUCUCAAAUAGAUGAUCAACAAACCACACCAGCAACACACCAGCAACUGUUUGUAAAUGAUCAAACAGAUGAACCAGCAGUCACUGGAACAAAGAAAUCACUAGAGGACAGGAGCAGUAGUAGUACACCUGAAACAAAAAUGGAUAAAAUAUCUGAAAAUGGACAAAAAAAAUCGAUAUCAGUCAAAACUACCUGUAUUACAAAGGAACAACAAACCAAAUCAUACCCAGGUCUCUCAUCCAAGACAGAGAGUGACCACAACUAUGUGGAAGCCUUAACCAAUACACCACUGCAGCAGAUGGGUCCUGUAAGCCCAAGUGUAGUCCUGGAGAAACGCCCAACUGAACCAAGCCUCAUUGUGUCUGCCUCAAGCACACCUACCCAUGAGGAAGUGAUAUAUACAUCAACCAAGCCUGAAUUGACUGACCACAUUCAUACUGACACUGAGAACCAAGCUAAUCAGAAAAGUAAUGAGUGCAAUGAAAAUACUUCUACAGCUUCAGAGAAGCUCAUACUUAGUGCUGGGGAAGGGAUAUCCAAUACGAAUCAGCCUGUGGAACAUGGCCUGGAUGUAGCAACGGAUAGCUCACCCAAAAACGCCUCCACUGUGGUUGAAAGAAUAGAGAGUCAAGAUACGGCAACACAGUCACCCAUCUUUGGAUCAGAGGAAAAAUCUAAGAAACUAGCUAAUGCUCAAACCCCCGAUAUAGUACCUAUUCGUAAUGGCAUAGUUUCUGAUAUAUCCAUAGUGUCUGGGAAAGAGACUGAAGUACAGAAGGGGGGAGAGCCAGUGAAGGUCUCCGACAUCAUAACAGAGCCUGUGAUUGUUCUGAAACCAAUUAAAAAUGGUGAGGUCCAACUGAACAAAGAGCUUCCUUCACUGACACAGAAUUUGGCAGAUGCACAUAGCGGGCCACACAAAGAAAACAAAGAGGACAAACUGGGUGAGGCGGCAACUAAGAGCACAGUUACUAAGAUGGAUGCAAAACAGGAAUCAAAGACCAUAACUACAAAAGAUCAGAAGGAGAAAGUGACAAAACAAGAAGAAAGACCCAACGAAGGAGCGACUAAGAUAUUAGACACAAAACAGGACUCAAAAUCUAUAAGAACAAAAGCUCAGGAGAAGGUCUUGCUCCUCAAAGAACCCCCUAAAACGACAAAAGCAAACCCCAAGGCUGAGCUGCCUUUUCAGCUGCCAACUUCUCUGAAGCUCCCCUCUCCCCCUAAACCUCUCCCUCUGAAACAGGAAUCUCCGUCCAGCUGGCUGAACGUGGAGCGCGGCUCAAAACAGGAGCAGAAGAGGGAGACGAAGAGAAGGCUAGACUGUUCAGCCAGCGAGGAUGAGAGUCUGGCUGAGAUUGACAACGUGGAUGACUUCAUCAGGAGCAUUAAGGAACUGGGCACCCCCUUUCCCCUGCCCCCCAAGAGGCACCACGACCAUGCCAAGACCUCCUCGCCCCCCUUUGCCCUGCCUGCCAUCAAGGAGGACCGCUUCGAGAACCCUUUUGACGCUGAUGGCUUCCAGUUUGGCCUGAAAAAGAGGACCAAGGAUGAAGAAACCCCGGCCAUGUUGAUAAAGAAACAGGCCAGGGAGGAGAAGACGCAGCCAAGAAGGGCUAAUGCAGAGGACAGCCUUCUCUUCAAAGCCCUCCAGUCUCCAUCUAGAGCCCGGAGAAAACCAGGGUGUCAAACAGAUGGGAAAGAUGGAGAGGUGAACAUUGAAGUAGAGGGGAAGAGGGAAGUAGAGAAGAAAGAGGAGCAAGGGGAAGAAACUGGUCAGCUCACGUCACGGCUAGGAAGGAUGUCCCUACUCUCCAACCUAUUGAGCUCCCCCAGGACUUCCAGAAGGAACAAAGGGGAUCCUUCCUCCUCAGUCUCUAAUGGUGCUCCUCCCUCUCCUACCACCCAGGGCACAGUGCCAGAAAGGGAGGGUUGGAGAAGUAUGAAUCCGGCCCUGAGUAUGGGUGUGGUUGCAACUGGUGAGUCAAUAAUCAGUCCUUCCUCACCUCCUCCUCUCCCUUUGUUCACUGAGCUAAAGCUGCCAGAUCCCCUGGAGCAGUAUCUCAGGACAGACAAAGGAUCCUCACAGAGUAGUGCUACACAGAGUACAAUGGCUAGCCCUGUAAUGGGCUUAGGUCACGGUACUGGACUAAAGGGACUUACCUUAGGACUUCAUCCAGCCACCAACCACAUCCCACAGGCCCCUCUGAAUGGUCUUCCUGCAGCCAACCCUAAGAUUCCAGAAGUGAGAGGGUUCCACAAACGGCCCGGGAAGAUAGUGCUCCAUGAGCAGGCUCAGUUUGAAGGAGAGGCCUACGAGGUGUUUGGGGACGUAGAGGAUGCCUCCAUGAUGAAGCUGUCUCCUGUCAUCUCAGUCAGGGUCAUCAGGGGAUGCUGGCUGCUGUAUGAGAAGCCAAGGUUCCAGGGGCGGACCAUCGCCCUGGAGGAGGGGCCCAUGGAGCUGGUCAACGUGUGGGCAGAGGAGGUGACACCAGGGGCACUGGAUCACAUGGGUCUGCCUGUGCCAACCUCACCCAUGGUCAUCGGAUCUAUCCGCCUGGCAGUGAGGGACUACAGUCUACCUCGGAUUGACCUGUUCACUGAAGUGAAUGGUCUGGGGAGAAUGACAUCCUUCUGCGACGACACUAUUGAGAUCUGCUCUUAUGGGAACAUACAGAACACCGGCUCCAUCAAGGUCCACUCUGGAGUCUGGCUGGUGUAUGGUGACCCAGGGUUUGGGGGUCUCUUAUCGGUGUUAGAGGCGGGCGAGUACCCCUGUCCAGAGGCCUGGGCAUUCCCUCAGCCCUUCAUCGGAUCGCUGAAAACACUCAAAAUGGGUGGGAUAAAGGUGGAGCAUCCUAAUGAAGUAAAGGCUCUGGUGUACGAGAGGCCGUGCUUCGAGGGCGAGUGUGUGGAGAUUGACGAUGAUGUGUAUGACUUCAGAGAGGGAGGAGAGGAGAAAGAGGGGCGUGUGGAGGAGGUGGUGGAGGAGGAGGCAGAAGGUAAUCCAGUCAGAAGGAAGACUUUGUGUUCUGUGGGAUCCAUCAAGAUCAUUCGUGGACUCUGGGUUGGCUAUGAUGAACCAGAGUUUGAAGGUCACCAGUAUCUCUUGGAGGAGGGGGAGUAUCCUGACUGGAGGGAGUGGGGAGGCUACGGAGACCAGUUCCUGUCACUUCGCCCUGUACGCACUGAUGUCCUGUCUCCCCAUGUGAAGUUGUUCAGUGAGAGGGACUUUGGGGAGAGAGGGGUCAACAUGGACCUGCUAGGGCCUGUCAUUAACAUGGAGGACACAGGCUUCGGCUCGAAGACACAGUCCAUCAAUGUCCAGGGUGGAGUGUGGGUUGCCUUUGAGAACCCUGGGUUCUCCGGAGAACUUUACAUUCUAGAGAAAGGCCUCUACGGAAACCCAGAAGACUGGGGAGGACCGAACCUCAAGAUAUCCUCACUGCAGCCAGUCUUCCAGGAUAACCUGGGUGGAUCAAGCAAGUUCAGGCUCCAGCUGUUCUCAAAGCCUUGGUUCCAGGGCAGAGUGGUGGUACUGGAGGACAGUGUGGUAGCCCUGGAGGAAGACUUCUUCCCUGGCUCCUGUAGAGUACUGGCUGGGAGCUGGGUGGCGUAUGAAGGAUCCCAGUUCACAGAGCACAUGUAUGUCCUGGAGGAGGGAGACUACCCCAAUACCAAGUCCAUGGGCUGUCUGGGUCCUGACUCUCCCAUCCGUUCCAUACAGACCAUCAGCCAUGAGUUCUCCCUCCCGUCCAUAACGUUGUUCAGUAAGGUUGGCUGUAGAGGCCGUAGGGUGGUGCUGACGGAAGGGUUGGUGAACCUGCAGCUGGCUGGGGUGGACGGACGCAUACGCUCCCUGGUUAUCGACGGAGGAAUGUGGGUGCUGUAUGAGGGGUGUCAUCACCGUGGCCGUCAGAUCCUGCUACCGCCCAGCAAACUGGGUGAUUGGUUCAAGUUCAGCAGCUGGCCGCGAAUCGGAUCCCUGAGACCACUAUUGCAGAAGCAGGUGUACUUCCGUCUGCGAAGCAGGGAGACGGGCUACGUGAUGUCCCUGUCAGGGCCUCUGGAUGACAUCAAGCUGUUGCGGGUCCAGGCCCUGGAGGAGACUGGGGGAGUGGACCAGGUCUGGCUCUUCCAUGACGGAGUCCUACGCUGCAAGCUGGUGGAGGACUGUUGCCUGCAGAUCACGGGGAGCAUUGUCAUGGCGGGCAGCAGGCUGAGUGUGUCUCCUCCGGAGCCAGGGAAAGACAACCAGCUGUGGAACAUUACCCCAGACGGCCUGGUCCGAUGCCACCUCAAACCUGAUCUGGUGCUUGAGGUUAAAGGGCGCAGCCAUGAGUGGGCCUGGGAGGACAUAGGCCCACCCACUUGAGAGCCAGCCAAUCUGAAUGAGCCCCUUCAAAAGGGCUUUAUUACAGACAGAAAUACUCCUCACAUUCAUCAGCAGUCCGUGUGGCUGGUCUGUCACGAUCCCACAGGUGGACAAAGUUAUGACAAAACUCAAGUGAUUCUCAACACAUUUGAUGAGAGAAAACACAACCAAAGAUGGUCUUUGGAGAUCCUGUAAUAUAGUGUCAAUAGACCUGGCCCUUCUACAGCAGCUCUGCCCUGGGCUUCAGAACUCUCUGGUGCAGCUAAGCCAAGGGUUUAAGAGCUUUCUUGCAUUAGAAGGCCAUGGGACUCAAAGCUCUGUGAUGCAGUUCCACCGUGGGACCCAUACUCUUGUUUCUUUAUGCAGUUCCUACAAGGGCCUUAGCACUCUGUGAUUCUAGUCUGCAGUGGGCCUCAAGAUAUUCCUUCUGUAGCUCAGUUGGUAGAGAGCAUGGCGCUUGUAACGCCAGGGUAGUGGGUUCGAUCCCCGGGACCACCCAUACGUAGAAUGUUUGCACACAUGACUGUAAGUCGCUUUGGAUAGAAGCGUCUGCUAAAUGGCAUAUAUUAUUAUUAUUAUAUUAUAUUCUGAAACAUGUGUUGAGCUUGUGCGCAUCCAUACUAGGUUGUCUUUGUAAAACACAACUAUAAACUAGUAAACUACACAUUUUCAUGUCACUGCAACGAGAAAGAAAACAAACAACAUGUGGCUACAGUACUAUCUAUAGAACAAGGGUGGCAGGUAGCCUAGCGGUUAAGAACAUUGGGCCUGUAACUAAAAAGUCGCUGGUUCGAAUUCCCAAGCCGACUAGGUGAAAAAUGUUGAGGUGCCCUUGAGUAAGGCACUUAACACUAAUUGCUCUGGAUAAGAGCAUCUGAUAAAUAACUUAAAAGUACAUUUAAGGAGCACUACAAUAUACGGUCAGGACUUGAAUGAUGCUUUACAAAUUCCACAAUUAAUUAUUUCAUUGACCAUACCAAAGAAAAACGGUAGUGGAAUAUGUGUGUGUCUCUACUAUAUUCAUAGCAUUUACAAUGAGUUAAGUGUGCUUCACCAGUCAAUCACUGAAAUGUAUAUGUUUUCACACAAGGGUUAGUCUAUGAAGUCACACAUUCUUAAUGUCAUAGAUGAACACUCCUUGAAAUCUCCAAAGGUACGUUUUGAGUAGAUAUGUUGGUAACACUUGACACCCAGCGUCAUGACACAUUAUGACCCCAUAAAACAUACCAUGGUAGUUAUUUUAUUGCUGGUUAUGACACCUACAUAAGAGUGUCAAAACACAUAAAACCUACCAUGGUAGGUAUUUUAUGGCUGGUUAUGACACCUACAUAAGAGUGUCAAAACACAUAAAACCUACCAUGGUAGGUAUUUUAUGGCUGGUUAUGACACCUACAUAAGAGUGUCAAAACACAUAAAACCUACCAUGGUAGGUAUUUUAUGGCUGGUUAUGACACCUACAUAAGAGUGUCAAAACACAUAAAACCUACCAUGGUAGGUAUUUUAUGGAAGAUUAUGACACCUACAUAAGAGUGUCAAAACACAUAAAACCUACCAUGGUAGGUAUUUUAUGGAAGAUUAUGACACCUACAUAAGAGUGUCAAAACACAUAAAACCUACCAUGUUAGGUAUUUUAUGGCUGGUUAUGACACCUACAUAAGAGUGUCAAAACACAUAAAACCUACCAUGGUAGGUAUUUUAUGGCUGGUUAUGACACCUACAUAAGAGUGUCAAAACACAUAAAACCUACCAUGGUAGGUAUUUUAUGGCUGGUUAUGACACCUACAUAAGAGUGUCAAAACACAUAAAACCUACCAUGGUAGGUAUUUUAUGGAAGAUUAUGACACCUACAUAAGAGUGUCAAAACACAUAAAACCUACCAUGGUAGGUAUUUUAUGGAAGAUUAUGACACCUACAUAAGAGUGUCAAAACACAUAAAACCUACCAUGGUAGGUAUUUUAUGGCUGGUUAUGACACCUACAUAAGAGUGUCAAAACACAUAAAACCUACCAUGGUAGGUAUUUUAUGGCUGGUUAUGACACCUACAUAAGAGUGUCAAAACACAUAAAACCUACCAUGGUAGGUAUUUUAUGGCUGGUUAUGACACCUACAUAAGAGUGUCAAAACACAUAAAACCUACCAUGGUAGGUAUUUUAUGGAAGAUUAUGACACCUACAUAAGAGUGUCAAAACACAUAAAACCUACCAUGGUAGGUAUUUUAUGGCUGGUUAUGACACCUACAUAAGAGUGUCAAAACACAUAAAACCUACCAUGGUAGGUAUUUUAUGGCUGGUUAUGACACCUACAUAAGAGUGUCAAAACACAUAAAACCUACCAUGGUAGGUAUUUUAUGGCUGGUUAUGACACCUACAUAAGAGUGUCAAAACACAUAAAACCUACCAUGGUAGGUAUUUUAUGGAAGAUUAUGACAUGUAUAUAAGAGUGUCAAAUAACCCAAGAAUGACCACACAAGGCAAAACAUUCCAUUACACCAUAGCCUUCUUGUCAACAGUAUGUUUGUUAUUCAUUUUUAAAUUGACCAUAUACAAUUAUCAUUGUAAUUGCACACACAUUGAUGUCAGACAUGCGCCUACCCCAAUGCUCUGUUUCUGAUGACUGGGAUAAAUGCAGGAGCAGAUUUUAGGAGCAGGACAAGACACCCUCUUUGUGACUGAUGACUGAGAUAAGGGCAUGUGCGUGAUAGGACUAUAUGGCUUAGAUGAUUAUGAUGGUAAUAAUGCUUCUUAACAGUGUCAUAAAGUGUAUUUUCUUAGUCCAAGUAAAGUGACAUAGGAUGGUCAUAAUGCAUUUGGACUGUUUCAUAAAGUGUAUGUUCUUAGUCCAAGUAAAGUGACAUAGGAUGGUCAUAAUGCAUUUGGACUGUUUCAUAAAGUGCAUUUUCAGAGUACAAGUAAAGUGACAUAGGAUGGUCAUAAUGCAUUUGGACUGUUUCAUAAAGUGUAUUUUCUUAGUCCAAGUAAAGUGACAUAGGAUGGUGUAAUGCAUUUGGACUGUUUCAUAAAGUGCAUUUUCAGAGUACAAGUAAAGUGACAUAGGAUGGUCAUAAUGCAUUUGGACUGUUUCAUAAAGUGCAUUUUCAGAGUACAAGUAAAGUGACAUAGGAUGGUCAUAAUGCAUUUGGACUGUUUCAUAAAGUGUAUUUUCUUAGUCCAAGUAAAGUGACAUAGGAUGGUCAUAAUGCAUUUGGACUGUUUCAUAAAGUGUAUUUUCUUAGUCCAAGUAAAGUGACAUAGGAUGGUCAUAAUGCAUUUGGACUGUUUCAUAAAGUGCAUUUUCAGAGUACAAGUAAAGUGACAUAGGAUGGUCAUAAUGCAUUUGGACUGUUUCAUAAAGUGUAUUUUCUUAGUCCAAGUAAAGUGACAUAGGAUGGUCAUAAUGCAUUUGGACUGUUUCAUAAAGUGUAUUUUCUUAGUCCAAGUAAAGUGACAUAGGAUGGUCAUAAUGCUUUAUGAAAAGUUAUUUCAAAUAUAAUGAAAAAAAAUGUAUGUAAAGUAUUCAUAACAACAACAAAGGACUUAAGAAACAAACUUUCAAACAAAAGGACAUUUCUUGGCAGGGAAAAAACACAUUUGAAUACAUUUGGGUUUUGACACUAAGUGUCAUAACCAGACAAAAAAAUAAUGCAAUAUGUCAGAAUAGGUGGCACUAUAUGGGCCAUGACUGUGUUAUGACCAUAUUAUGACAGGUUAUGACAAGUUUUGUCAGUUAUGAUAUAUUAUGACAUGGUUAUGACCAUCAAGUAAAGUGUUACUGAUAUGUUUUUUCAUGUUUUAUAAGUAAUUUUCUUGUCUGGAUUUAUACUUUACUUCACACAUUAUUCACAGAACAUUAGCUGCAACAGGUGCAUGUAUUUCAUAUGUCAAAUGAUUAAAGAUCCGUUUCAACACUGUGCUACAAUAUCAUGCUAACCACUUUGUCUUAAAUGUAAUGUCAUCAAAAUGCUGUUACGAUCUACAAAAAAAUAAAUGUUUUUUUCCUUUUCA